CACACACACACACAUACAUGGAAAGCUAGAUCUGGAGAAAGUAUGCCUGAUGAGUAUAUUCAAAUCUUGAUUUCGGAGAUUACACCCUGACUUUGAGUCUGAGACUGCUGCCAUCCUGGGAUCAUCCUUCUGAGUACUCCUGAGAGGGGAGUUCCUGGUUAUACUGGCACCAACUACACCACCUGAUUGCAGAACCAUCCU